rnacentral:rRNA from 1 species
UACAGAGGCCUCGAGCGUUAGUCGGAAUUACUGGGCUUAAAGGGUGCGUAGGCGGGUCGGUAAGUGCUGUGUGAAAGCCCUCGGCUCAACCGAGGAACUGCACGGCAUACUGCCGACCUUGAGGCAGGUAGGGGCGGGCGGAACAGUAGGUGGAGCGGUGAAAUGCGUAGAGAUCUACUGGAACGCCGAUGGUGAAGACGGCCCGCUGGACCUGUCCUGACGCUGAGGCACGAAAGCGUGGGGAGCAAACAGG